CUGAGAAGGAUUUAGUACUGGGUGCAGUUUGGGAGGAAAUAGUGUAAGCACUUGGAACCUCUAAGAAUAAACAUGGGAAUGAGCUGCCCUUUGAGAGGGGCCUAGAGGUCAAUAAAGGGGUGGGACUACAAGUGACCUGAGUGGUGAGAAGGAGCAAACUGCGUGCUCUGAGUGGCUGUUGAUGGAGGGUGCUAGAGUUGAAGACACACUACACCUGGCCAUGAAGGGGUGCUCUAGUUGCUCAGAGAGGUGUGACUGUUCCACAUUUCAGAGAGAUAAGGUAUUACAGGAAAACUUGUACUCAAAAUGUGCUGAAAGCAGCAGAGAAGGAAAAAAUGCUCAUGCCUUGAGGAUAGAGUACUGGACUGGGACUUUAUUCCUGGCUCUGCAACUAGCCUUCUGGGUGGCCUUGGGCAAAUCACUUCACCUCUCUGUGCCUCAGUUACACCAUGUGUAAAAGGAGAAUGAUACUGACCUUGGUAAAGCGCUGUGGAUGCAAAGCACUGUAUAACAGCUAAGUGCAAUCAUCAAGAAAAGACCUGAGUUGUGCUGCGGAUUCCCCAUUGAAUGAGCAUGCUUCAUAUUUGGCACAAAAAAGAACGAUCUGUAUUAAUAGAACUGGCAGAAUACUGCAAAACAACAUGAACAUAAAAAUCAGUUUGGACAUGCUAGCACAAAUAUUUAUAGAAAGUGAUUUUGCUUUCCCAGGACACUUGCACUAGAAACCUGAUUCUAAGGCUCUGUCUACUCUGCACUGUCAUUGGUAAAAACUUUUGUCAGUAAGGGGCGUGGGGGGGAAAAAAACACAUUCCUGAUCAACAGAAGUUUUGCCGAUGACAAGCACCAAUGUGGCCAGCACCAUGUUAGUGGGAGAUGCUCUCCCGUCCACAAAGCUACUGCCCCUGGUUGGGGGUGGUUUUAUUUUGUCAGCAGGAGAGUAUGGGGGAAAAUUAGGUUUAGGUUUUGGUUCAUUUUGGUCAUUACGAAACCUAAACCUAAUUUCUCCCUACUAUUACUCACACCUUUUUGUCAACUGUUUGAAAUGGGCCACUCUCA